GCAAUCUUUUUUUUCGAUAAGAACUYUAAAAAAAAAUACGCUGUUAUCCCUAAGGUAACUUAAUCUUUUAAUCUAUAYUAAGGAUCACAUAAUUAUAAACUAACAUAAAAAUAAAAAAAAAAGUUUCAUCCAUUUUCCUAUCACCCCAACAAAAUAAAUAUAAAAUCCUAAAUUUUAAAUUCUUUUAAUCUUAGACACUUUUAUUAUUUAUAAAACUCUAUAGGGUCUUCUCGUCUUCAAUACAAAUUUGAGCUUUUUAACUCAAAAAUAAAAUUUUAAUAAAUUUUUAUAGAGACAGUCAUUUUUUCAUCAAACCCUUCAUUCAAGCUUUCAAUUAAAAAACUAGUGAUUAUGCUACCUUUGCACGGUCAAUAUACCGCGGCCAUUUAAUAAACUCAGUGGGCAGGUCUGACUUAAAAUAAUACUCACCAACCC
rnacentral:rRNA from 1 species